rnacentral:rRNA from 1 species
UCUACGGGGUGCAGCAGUGGGAAUAUUGGGCAAUGGGCGCAAGCCUGACCCAGCAACGCCGCGUGAAGGAAGAAGGCUUUCGGGUUGUAAACUUCUUUUCUCAGGGACGAAGAAAGUGACGGUACCCCUUGAAUAAGCCACGGCUAACUACGUGCCAGCAGCCGCGGUAAUACGUAGGUGGCAAGCGUUGUCCGGAUUUACUGGGUGUAAAGGGCGUGCAGCCGGAGAGACAAGUCAGAUGUGAAAUCCACGGGCUCAACCCGUGAACUGCAUUUGAAACUGUUUCCAUUGAGUGUCGGAGAGGUAAUCGGAAUUCCUUGUGUAGCGGUGAAAUGCGUAGAUAUAAGGAAGAACACCAGUGGCGAAGGCGGAUUACUGGACGAUAACUGACGGUGAGGCGCGAAAGCGUGGGGAGCAAACAGGAUUAGAUACCCCUGUAGUC